CGCCCAAAUCUGUACUUUCAAUCCCUCUCUUUCUCUCUCUCAAAUCCAGACCCAUCUUUCAAAAUUCAAACCAUAGGGUUUCAAAAUUCAAACCACCCCCCCCUCUCUGAGUUCAGUUCCACUACCAAAUGAAUCAGGCACUUCUCUCUCCUUUUUCUCUCAUCUCUUUAUUUAUGCUGAAGAUCUGCCCUUCAAUCCGUUAACAAUUUGCAUGAUUGGCACCGGAGGAUUCAUCGGCUCGCAUUUGUGUGAGAAACUGCUGUCAGAGACGAAUCAAACUGUGUUAGCAGUUGAUGUUUAUUGUGAUAAGAUCAAGCAUCUUAUCGAACCGGACUCUGUUCCAUGGUCAAGAUGCAUUCAGUUACGCCGGAUUAAUAUUAAGAACGAUUCGAGGCUCAAAGGACUUAUUAAAUGCUCCGAUCUGGUAAUGUUGUGAUUAUGUUGAUUGAUUUGGUUAGUUUAAGUUGGUUGAACUGUUUUUGUUUGUGUAUUGUGAUGUUAAUCGUUUUGAUUAAGUAUUUCUGUGUUUGAGUGUGAAUUGGGACAUGGAUAUAGCAAGGAGCAAAGUGAGAAAUUGUAGAAGUAUGCGGCUCGGUUUGUGGGUUAUUUGAAAACAAAGUACUUUUCGGAUAAGGAUAUUAAUGGAGACGACUUGCUAACCGAACAGAAAGCAACGAGAGGAAGGAUGAGGGCAAGCAGUGAGGUUGGAACAUGAUCUUAUGCUGACCCGUUUGCUUAUUGGAAUGAAAUGUUUGCUCAGAAAGAGCGUGAACAGAAACAAAGACCAAUCUUUCUAAUGGGAAACACUCUUCUGAGAUGAGUUCAUAAGUUUGGUAGGUAAUGGUGUAGUAUUGUAUCUUACAACUUGCAGUUUAGGCUGUAAUAUUUUUGUAAAUCUAUGCAUGAUGUUAAUUAUGCAUGUUUAAUCCAUCUUAUUGUUGUAGUUUACAAGUUGCAGUUUCUGACAAUAACCAACUGAUUAUUACUCUUUC